rnacentral:rRNA from 1 species
GGAUAAACGCUGGCGGCGUGCAUAACACAUGCAAGUCGAACGAUGAAACUUAGAUGAUUUCUUCGGAAUGAACUUAAGCGGAUUAGUGGCGAACGGGUGAGUAACACGUGAGUAACCUGCCUUACACAAGGGGAUAGCCUUUGGAAACGAAGAAUAAUACCCUAUAACGUCAAUUUAUCGCAUGAUAGAAUGACCAAAGAUUUAUCGGUGUAAGAUGGACUUGCGUCUGAUUAGCUAGUUGGUGAGAUAAAGGCCCACCAAGGCAACGAUCAGUAGCCGGCUUGAGAGAGUGUACGGCCACAUUGGGACUGAGACACGGCCCAAACUCCUACGGGAGGCAGCAGUGGGGAAUUUUGCACAAUGGGGGAAACCCUGAUGCAGCGACGCCGCGUGAUUUAGAAGGCCUUCGGGUUGUAAAAAUCUUUUUUAUGGGAUGAAAAUGACAGUACCAUAAGAAUAAGGUCCGGCUAAAUACGUGCCAGCAGCCGCGGUAAUACGUAUGGACCGAGCGUUGUCCGGAAUCAUUGGGCGUAAAGGGUACGUAGGCGGCCCAGUAAGUUAGAAGUGAAAUAAUAUAGCUCAACUAUAUAAAGCUUUUAAAACUGCUAGGCUUGAGAGAUGGAAGGGAAAGUGGAAUUCCUAGUGUAGCGGUGAAAUGCGCAGAUAUUAGGAAGAAUACCGGUGGCGAAGGCGACUUUCUGGUCAUCAUCUGACGCUGAGGUACGAAAGCGUGGGUAGCAAACAGGAUUAGAUACCCUGGUAGUCCACGCUGUAAACGAUGAGUGUUAGGUUCUUGGAAUAAUCUGGGAGCCGCAGCUAACGCAUUAAACACUCCGCCUGGGGAGUACGCACGCAAGUGUG